GGCCGUGAGCGCGAUGAAGUCGGAGAAGCCCGUCGCCUCGAUCGCGGUGACCGCGUCGAACCCGGCGAAGCGCCGGUUCGAGCCCGGCACGGCCGCCA
rnacentral:tRNA from 1 species